rnacentral:rRNA from 1 species
UAGGGAAUCUUCCGCAAUGGGCGAAAGCCUGACGGAGCAACGCCGCGUGAGUGAUGAAGGUCUUCGGAUCGUAAAACUCUGUUAUUAGGGAAGAACAAAUGUGUAAGUAACUAUGCACGUCUUGACGGUACCUAAUCAGAAAGCCACGGCUAACUACGUGCCAGCAGCCGCGGUAAUACGUAGGUGGCAAGCGUUAUCCGGAAUUAUUGGGCGUAAAGCGCGCGUAGGCGGUUUUUUAAGUCUGAUGUGAAAGCCCACGGCUCAACCGUGGAGGGUCAUUGGAAACUGGAAAACUUGAGUGCAGACGAGGAAAGUGGAAUUCCAUGUGUAGCGGUGAAAUGCGCAGAGAUAUGGAGGAACACCAGUGGCGAAGGCGACUUUCUGGACUGUAACUGACGCUGAUGUGCGAAAGCGUGGGGAUCAAACAGG